rnacentral:rRNA from 1 species
AUGGGACGAACUACACCUAACCCUAUAUGGUGUCAGAUAUGGCAGUUAGCUUGCCCGGCAAAAGUCAAAAAAAUUAUAUGGUGUACUUUACAUGGCACUCUCCCAUGUCGAGUAACUCUUGCUAAUAGACACAUGAAGGUCUCGCCCAUAUGCCCUACCUGCUCUCAGGGUCUAGAAGACACGAAACAUAUGUUGUUCCGAUGUAGUAAAGCAAGGGAGGUUUGGAAGAAACUUGGGAUGGACGAGAUUAUUAACAAAGCAUGUGAGGUUGAUCGUGCUGGAGAGGCGAUUUUGGAAUAUCUUUUACUUCUCCCAGAUCAUGACUUGAGAAUCAUGGGUUUCCAAAAUGUACAAGAGAUGAUAGCUAUAUCAACUUGGUAUAUAUGGUGGGAAAGACAGAAAUUGGUGCAUAAGGAAGCAACUCAGAAUGCAACUCAGAUAUCAAUGGGGAUCAUGGCCCUUGCAGCAAUUUUUGUGAAAGCUUCAUGUCCAAGAGCAUCCAUAAGAGAGGGGGGUUGGUACUGCCCUCCUAGGGGUUUCGUAAAACUAAAUGUUAACGCGUCUUUUGAUCAUGACAUGCUAACAAGGACGAUGGGUGCAAUCUUGAGAGACGACAAAGGUAGGUUUAUUGCAGGAGGAAAUGGAAAGAUCGAAUAUUGUAUGGAUGUUCUGAUGGCAGAAGCUUCAGCCCUGAAAUUUGGCUUAACUUUGGCACAAAGGGCAGGAUGUAACCGCCUAAUUAUCAACUCCGACAAUAUGGAGGUCAUUGAUACCAUGCAGGACAGAGGACAAUCAACGGGAGCAGCGGCAGCAAUAUUUGACGACUAUUUUCACUAUGCAUGUGAUUUUAUUGUAACUAGAUUUGAGCAUUGUAAUAGAGAGGCAAACAAAGUAGCUCAUGAACUCACUAGAUUAGCUAGAUUUCCGUGA